GUGAAAUUUUGCUACUGGAAUUAAGUCAUGGCAAUAGAGUUGAUAAUGACUAAGUGCACCUGAUGUUAUGGCAGCUUUGGCAUAAGCAUCUACACUCUCAUUGCCAGUAAUUCCACUAUGACCAGGAAUCCAUGCUAAUUUAACUUGAAUAUUUUGAACACGACACUUAAGGAGUAACUGUCUUAUUUUCAGUAUCAAUGGAAAUCUAGACUUAGAGCGGAACUGGUUGGCUGAAAUACCCUCUAAAACGCUUCUGGAAUCCGAAAGAAUAAUUUUCUCUAUAUAAG